GAAGAUAGAACAGUUGCUUUGGUUGGACAGGAGGCCCUGUGGCUCAGCAAAGAGGGAUGAGAGCACAAAGAGCAAAGUGAACCCAGUGAUGGUUUGAUCCCAAGGUAGGGACUUGGUGCACUGUCUGAGCUGAGACCCGAAACAAACACUCAUUUUUUGCUUUCUAAAUUUCACGUGCCUUGCCUAAGAUUGCCAUCCUGUGGCAUGAUGAUCAGAGAGGCUCCACAAGGGGCUGAUUCACCCCAUCCCUCAUCAGUGACGACUUGUUCUUGACGGUGCCUUUCCCUGUGGUGCUGGUGGAAAGGAUCCUGCUCUUUUUGGGCUGUGUUUGGGUGGAAAUCCAUCUGAUCCAACCACAGCAUGAAGUGAGAAGCUGCCAGGGCGAGGACACCUCGAGCCCAGCUCUUCUGUGUAGCCUGGGUUUGCCACGGGUUUCAGCAAUGCUUAGCUCAGCCUCAUAUACAAAUGCAAUGUCUUCUCAGCAUGCUGAAUUUCACUCUGAGUUUACCUUGGUGCACUCCAGUAACUUUAUAAACUUUAUAAAUCCUGCAUAAACUUUAUAGACGGCAUAAACUUCAGGCACAGUCACUGCCUUCUCCUAAACUCUACAGGAUCUGCACCACUUCUUCUGAAUUGAAUUUCUCCCUCUUCACAACGUCUCACUCCACAUUUUCCUCCAGCCCAGGACGGAGGAAACUCAGCCUGCCUUCAGGGAGGAAGACCAAUUAUUCCUGCUUUUUAAAACCACUUCCUAACGAACUCAUAUGUUCUUCCAUUCUGCGGCUGGCUCUCAGAUUGCAUGAGAUUGUUUUCUCCCCCUUCUUGGGAUCUGCAAAUAAGCAGGAAUAGCUUAGAAGCCUCCAGCUUCCACUAGAGGACUGGCUGCCCCUGUGGUUAAGCUUUGGCCCAAGGAGGUCCUCCAGCUCUGCACUAGGAUUAUCUUAUGUACAACCAAGCCUGGCCCAAGCCAAUUACUGAAUUAUUUUUGUAUCUCGACAAAUACCAUUUGCUUCUGAAAUUGGAACCUUGAGGCACAACCUCGGCACCAAAACCUUUGUCAGAGUGGAGCAGGGCUGCCCCCAGGCUGCAGCCUCCCCGCUUCGAUCCGCCUGCUGCAUCCCAAGCUCUGCAGCUUGUCCUCGCCGGCGAGGGAUGCUUUGUGCCACUGAUGUGUAAGAGGUAGCACUGAACAUGUUGCUAGCUGUCCCCGGAGGAUAACUUUUCAUUAUUGAUGUGGAAAGUGGAAAAUAAAA